rnacentral:lncRNA from 1 species
GUUUGCUCUUGCUGGGAGCACCCCAGGUUGCUAUUUUCAGCUCAGGAUCCUAGAGGGAGUCCUGGCGGCAAGGCAUAGGGCUCUCGGUGGAGGCCGCGAGCGAGGUGCUGCUCACUUCGGCAGCGCAGGAAGCAGCACUGCUCAUCCAUUCCUCCCCUCUUCCUGUUCCACCCCCCCCCGCUCGUCAAGUGAUUGUCUGCGGUGGAGAUUUUUUUUGUUGAUGCACAAUAUCUGGGUGCUGCAUACAUGUGCAGUGCAAGAGAUAAAGAGCCAGUUUGGUCACCGACUUUCAUUCUGUGACACAUCCAGUAUAGAAAGCAAUUCAAACAGCAGGGAAACCACACCAAAACUAGCUACCCAAAGGUGCAGAGAUCCAGUGGAAGGAUGGGAAACUGCCUACCAAGAAUAAGGCGCUUUGAGCUGCCGGCACUCGUGCUGCCGCCCUGUAGGUGGAAAACAUGCAUCUGCAUCCGGAGAAAAAGAUACUCCCACAAGGAAACACAGACCUGCAGCUAUUCACCAAGAACUAUUGAGGAACAUCUUGAGGGAAAAGAUUAUGCUAAUACCAGUGAACUGUGGUAUUCUACUGUCAACCAUGAUGUAAAGCAUGAACCCUCUGUAGUUAAUACCAGUGACGGGACAGAAUACGCAACUGUCAGCAUGCCUAAGAAUAAGCGAACUAUCACCAGCUCUGAAGACAACAAUGAAUAUGAUUAUAUCCUGGUAAACUAGAAAGUGGCACUUUCUGCUGCCAAGACACCCUUUUGUUUGAAUAUAUAAGCUAGUAGUGUGCAGUCUUCCUAACCACCUUACCUGCUAUGUCAGAUCUUCAAGCAAACCGGAGAGCAUCUCUCUCACAUUACAAAGGUUACACACUAGGACAAAUCUGCCAGCUAUUUCCAAUGAGACAAAUUUGUCCAUUGAAAGGUGAUCACAGAAAAAGACAUGAGCAGAGUACAGGGCUCCACUUUAUAACUAAAAGAAGAAGAACCAGUGUAACUGCCAUUGCAAGAUAAUGUUUCUAUACAGCAAAUAAGGCUCUUCAUUAGUAGAAGAACUAGACUCUUACAGUGCUUUUAAAUGUUUUUUAAGGGAUCUAAUAAAACUGUCAGUGGAAAUCUCA